rnacentral:misc_RNA from 1 species
UAUAUUUAACUUUAUAGGUACAAAACGACCUGAUUCAACAUUCUAAACAGAUUCAUAGGUUUGUGAUAAUGACAUAGACCUGAAAAAUACAAGGGAAAGCCGACUUGAGAAAGCACAGCAGUCCCCAACUCGAAAAUAAAUCAAUCUCAGGUCUACAGUAUGUGCACAGUUGGAGAAAUAAAGAUGACAAGCGUGCACGUAUCCCUCCGAGGAGGGCCAGCAACAGCCUGUUCAAGUUUAUUCGAUAAUGAUCCUUCCGCAGGUUCACCUACGGAAA